rnacentral:rRNA from 1 species
GGCGGGUCCGCCCGCCGGUUGGACAACAUUCAAACCCUUUGCAGUUGCAAUCAGCGUCUGAAAAAACUUAAUAGUUACAACUUUCAACAACGGAUCUCUUGGUUCUGGCAUCGAUGAAGAACGCAGCGAAAUGCGAUACAGUAGUGUGAAUUAGCAGAAUUCAGUGAAUCAUCGAAUCUUUGAACGCACAUUGCGCCCCUUGGUAUUCCAUGGGGCAUGCCUGUUCGAGCGUCAUUUGUACCUUCAAGCUCUGCUUGGUGUUGGGUGUUUUGUCUCGCCUCCGCGCGCAGACUCGCCUUAAAACAAUUGGCAGCCGGCGUAUUGAUUUCGGAGCGCAGUACAUCUCGCGCUUUGCACUCAUAACGACGACGUCCAAAAGUACAUUUUUACACUCUUGACCUCGGAUCAGGUAGGGAUACCCGCUGAACUUAAGCAUAUCAUUAAGCGGAAG